AAGGGCACCACAAGAACGCGUGGAGCAUGUGGCUUAAUUUGACUCAACGCAGGAAAUCUUACCGGGUCCGGACACACUGAGGAUUGACAGACAAGCGCAGUGUGCGAGAUUCACGUCUCACUCGCUGUGCAAAAUAUGAUAGCUCUUUCAUAAUUAUGUGAUAGGUGGUGCAUGGCCGUUCUUAGUUCGUGGAGUGAUCUGUCUGCUUAAUUGCGUUUCCAUACAAAGCGGUUCCCAUAAAUGCUCGAGCGUGAUUCAUAUCUGCUUGUCGCAUUUGAACCCUUUUAGGAAUGCAACGAACGAGACCGCAACCUCUUGUUGCACCUUCAGCUGCUCAAGGUGCUCAACUAGAGGGACAGCUGUAUUUAUUUCUUUUAGCCAGAGGAAGGAUGCGGCAAUAACAGGUCUGUGAUGCCCUCAGAUGUCCCGGGCUGCACACGUGCUACAAUGAUCAUUGCACUGCGCAUCUUCUAACCCGCAGCAGUGAGAUUCGUCUCGCUCUGCACACAUACCCGAGUCGAUAGACAACCUUCUCGGGUAACCCAUUAGAAGUAAUGAUUUCCUAUAUUUCAGCACAUACUGAGCGUGUACGACUUCGGUCACACACGCGCUCGUGCAAAUAUCAAUUCAUGGUGGGGACAGACCAUUGAUAAUUGUUGGUCUCGGUCUUAACUAGGAAUGCCUUGUACGAGUCGGUUCACCAGACCACUCGGAAUACGUCCCUGCCCUUUGUACACACCGCCCGUCGCUCUUACCGAUGGACUUCGCUGUGAGUUUGAGGGACUGGCCACUUCACGCGGCUAUAGAAACUCAAACGAACAGUGUGGUCUAAAGGAAAGAGAAGUCGUAACAAGGCAUCAGUAGGUGAACCU
rnacentral:rRNA from 1 species